rnacentral:misc_RNA from 1 species
GGCAACCACCAAGUCACAAACUUGAUAAAUGCAAGCACCUGGAGCGCAAAGAUCGUACAUAGACAAGCAUGUUAACGCGUUCCACCACUCCACAGACCGUCGCCACCACUUCACCGUUGCGCUCUGCUGUUCCAUGUCCUUUGAGAAUACUGUCUUCGAGGCUGAUUGGGAUGGUAUCGGCGACGGUGACGGAAGCAUCAGAAUUGACCUUAGAAUGCAAAGACUCGAGCUUUUGCAGAGCUUUCUGUAAUCUUAUCUUUUGAGUUUGAUUCAAGGAUAGCUGUAUUUCUCUCAUCUUUCGUUAAUUUACCUCUUCUUCCUCCCCUCUCCUCUCCUCUCCUCUGUGUG